GUGGAUUUGACACUCAGUUUAUACUUGCGAGGUAUUGCGCUGGUAGGAAGUGAACUGCAGUUGGGUUGGCUUCAGAUGGAACUUUGCGAGUUGCCUGGCUCAGCUGACGAUAAUUUUUAUGAGAAGCUUCUAGUAUCUGGUCUCAAAGUGGAUGGGCUAGAAUGAGAAUCUUGUUUCCAACUAUUUCCAGUGGUUGGAUUGCCUACUGCCUACAUCGAGUUUUUUGAUGCCCAAGCUUUCAACAAACCAAGCCUGCAAAGGAUAUAUAGCUUAGUUGUGGUUAAUCGAAUGAUGCUCUAUUUGAUCAGAAAGGGUGGAGAACAAAGCAGCUUCAAGAUUUGUAA